UGGGGCUGAGCAAUUUGGGAAGCGCUGAAGUUUUCUGCUCCUGUCCUGUACUGGUUUUCACUAAGCCAACUGUGAGAUUUCUUUGUUGCAAUAUUGGGGUCUGAGAUAACACUGCUGGAGGCUGGAGGCAAGAAACAUAGCCGAAACCAUCUUUUAGUGUGUGCUGUUAUUUACUAGCGCUGUGAACCAAGGAAGCGAAAAAACAAAGAGCCCGAAGACUGCACAGUUCCAGCUUGUAGGCCCUGGAGACAGUCUGGAGUCCUCAGACGGACAGAAAGAAGACAUCAGAAGGGCAACCUGUGGUGCCUGUGGCUGCUGAGUACAGGCGUGGGUGACUGAUUUUUAAGAAAUCGGCAACACGGAAGCUGAUUAUAAAAUAUUCAUAAGAAGCUGGCUUUUACAGUUGUUCUGAUGUUCCUUUCAGCUGGUCCUAUAGCCCCCUUUCUCAGUAAUGUCUCCCCAGUGAAAGGAAAAAGACUGCAGAGGCUUCAGACUGACGGACGCUCAUGCCAACUGUGAAGUUGAAACAAAGCCAGUGACCAGCUGAAGAGGCCCCUCCUGCCCAGCAGCCACCCACAUGGUGCAGUUGCAGCCAGUAGUAAUCUUUGCAAGAAGCAGAGAAGCCCAGAACACUCAUGAGUCAAAACCAUGCCCUUCCUUGUGUGUAUCCCUGUCUCGUUCAGAUUGAUGCUCCUUCCAUUUGGAUCCUGGUAUGAAUAUGCUUGUUACUGUACGAGUGUAAAAAGCUUUGCCCAAAUGUGUUAAUGUAUGAAGAGACUGGAUUUUUUUUGGGGGGGGGAGAGAGUUAUUUUUAUCAAAACACAGUGUUCGUUCUUGAGAGUGAUCUAGAAAAUAAAAAGCAGUUGGAAAAGACAGCAAAGCAGUCACAGGCGAUCCACAGAGAUGCUCACACCACCACACAGAAACACCACACCAUGCUCCCAGACUCUGAGCAGGGAGCUUGACUCUGUGACAUACUAUGGCUGCUGCCAGGGGUCAACGUCAAGCCAGACAAAGGUGCAGAAGCUUCCUGAAGUGUAGUGAUAAACUGAGUCAGGAGACAAUAAGAACAGCAACGACACAAAAGACAACGUCCUUGGAGGGAGCCAAGUGGGUUUGCUUAAGGAAGGAUGCUCCCUUAAAGAGAGAAUGGGAAAUCAACCUUUAAAGGAUGUAAAAACAAAACUAGAUAAAUGGGAAGAUAGGAGAAAAUAGAGUCCUUAAUGCAAGCAUAAGGGUAAGCAGCAGACGGGCAGAGGAGAUCCACAUGGUGAGUCUUGGAGACUACACAUAUCUCGUCUUGAUUUUGCCUGACACUUGGAACCGCUGUCUGUGUGUCUAGUAGAGAUGCUGCACACAGGUAUCUCCCCUCCCCCACCCCGAAUGUCACCUAAACCAAACUAGAACUAAAGUUCCAGUUCUGUGUCACUACAAAGAUUGGUUGGUGAUUCCUGAAUAGAAGUCAUGAUUCUUCUGUUCGUGAUUGCUUGUUACCAAGUUUAUUCCAUACAGAAAAUGUUUUGCAUAUUAAAUCUCAUGGUUGCUAUGAAAACGACACAUUAUCCACCUUUCACAGGUGAAGGAACUGAUUUUGGUGAGGUUGAGCGCCUGGCCAAGGUGCUACGUGCAGCUAUGCACAUUCAAGGUUGUGGUCAUGAAACUCAGUCCCUAGUCUGACUUUUGUGAUGAGUCCCAACACAGUUGUCACCUUUACCAUAGCCCUUAAUGCCUGUCUACAGAAAGACAUGGCUUUUCUGCUGACUUACAGCCACAGUAUUUCCUACUUCCAUGCUGAAUUAUACCAGAAUGAUAAAACGUAUUUUCAUGGAAGAAAAUUGAGAAUUUAGUGAAAUACACUGCUUGCCAGCAGUUUGUAUGUUUCUUCUUCAUUUUGGUCUGAGACUUUUGAUUUAGUUCUGCAUGAAAUCUCAAAGUUUUAAGAGCAGUAAGGGAAGGGCCUUAAGUUACCUGUUAUAGUACUUUGUGACAGAAGAUGUAAAUCUACAACCUGUAAUCAGAGUGACUUUACAAACAAACAACAAAAAGACACCCCUCCCCACAAAAACUCAAAUCAAACCAACCAACCAAACAACAAAA
rnacentral:lncRNA from 1 species